rnacentral:rRNA from 1 species
GACGAACGCUGGCGGCGUGCUUAACACAUGCAAGUCGAACGGAAAGGCCCUGCUUUUGUGGGGUGCUCGAGUGGCGAACGGGUGAGUAACACGUGAGUAACCUGCCCUUGACUUUGGGAUAACUUCAGGAAACUGGGGCUAAUACCGGAUAGGAGCUCCUGCUGCAUGGUGGGGGUUGGAAAGUUUCGGCGGUUGGGGAUGGCCUCGCGGCUUAUCAGCUUGUUGGUGGGGUAGGGGCUUACCAAGGCUUUGACGGGUAGCCGGCCUGAGAGGGUGACCGGCCACAUUGGGACUGAGAUACGGCCCAGACUCCUACGGGAGGCAGCAGUGGGGAAUAUUGCACAAUGGGCGGAAGCCUGAUGCAGCAACGCCGCGUGCGGGAUGACGGCCUUCGGGUUGUAAACCGCUUUCGCCUGUGACGAAGCGUGAGUGACGGUAAUGGGUAAAGAAGCACCGGCUAACUACGUG